rnacentral:rRNA from 1 species
UACGUAGGGGGCAAGCGUUAUCCGGAUUUACUGGGUGUAAAGGGAGCGUAGACGGCGGGGCAAGUCUGGAGUGAAAGGCCGGGGCCCAAACCCCGGGACCGCUCUGGAAACUGCCCGGCUGGAGUGCGGGAGAGGUAAGCGGAAUUCCUAGUGUAGCGGUGAAAUGCGUAGAUAUUAGGAGGAACACCAGCGGCGAAGGCGGCUACUGGACCGUGACUGACGUGAGGCUCGAAAGCGUGGGGAGCAAACAGGG